AUACUUACCUGGCACUGGGGAUUCCUUGAUCAAGAAGGACACUCCCCCAAGCAGAGACCAACCAUUGCACAUCGGUGGAUUGACGUCACCACAUCCGCAAAUCGUGGUUGCUUGGGGUGCAUAAUUUUUGGUAGCUGGAACUGCGUCCGUGCUGGCCCUGA